CCGAGUCGAGGGCGGGAAAGAUCGAAGCCGAGAAGGCGGCGCUCUUUCCGGGCAAUGGCGUCGUAAGAAUCGGCGCUCGGCCACGUUCCUGACAACGAUGUCCUUUCGCAGGGCCGCGCUGAUUGGACGGCUCGGAAUUCUUCUAUUCCAGCGGAUGCCCUGCUGGCAUUUUUACGGAGGUACGAGUUCAAUUUCCAACUGGAUGGGAUAUUUUUGCAGCCCGGAAAAGUCACCGUGGCCGUGAUUCCGCUUGUGGAGAUGUACGAAAUGGGGGUUACUUCGGACUCCGUUAUGGCAAAAUUGAAUUUCCACGCCACGAUGCCGGGGGAAUUGGAGCGUAAACUUGUAAUGUCACAGUGAUUACGAAACUGUGUCAAUGUUAAUUUACAUGCGGUCCGAGUCGGUGGUUUGUCAGACAUUCCCGUCGAGUGGUAAUGGUAUUCGGUAUUUUCUUUCGAAAAGUAGCUCGAUAACGAACCACAAAGGUACUCGUUUGAAAGAUUCCCUUCUCCAUUCUUCGUAAUACCCUCUGUAUCGCGUUACGUCUUAUCCGCUGCAGUCUUCAAACAAGCACCGGUGAAAACUUAUCAAAUCGUCAAAUAAGGAUCGGUACCGACUUAUCAAAAUAUCAAUAAGGACAUUCGGCUAUCUUCCCGAUAAAUUCACAGGUGUUGGUAAGAUUUAAUAUCCCUCUUAUCGGUCUUGAAAUUAAUCGGUAACGGCGAUGGAAUCUGAAAUUCGCUUGUUUACCGGCUGCACUUGAGCAGGAUCGCGACGGAUAUACAAUAACGUCGCGUUAUCACUGUGGUGACUCGCAGCGUUAUCACCAAUGAUAUUAUAUUAUGCAGAUACAGAUCCUCUUGUGUUCCAAGGCGAUCGGACAAUAAAUACAAGUCGAUCGCU